GGCAGUUGGAAUAAGUUAAGCUCUACUCAGAUGGCUAAAGCUUUUUGCUAAUAUUUGUGGAGAAGACACUGAAGAUUUUUUGUUUGUUCAAUUACCAAACACUUCCUUUUUUUUUUUUUCCUGAUAAGAAACAUUUCCUUGAAGUCUGCAUUUUAAAGAAUGACUCAGGUCCUGUAGAAGAUGGGGACAGAAAAUUUAUAUCACAGAAGCACAGAGAAAGUAUCCAAGAUUUCUUCUAAACGAAGUUUUGGGGGCAUAUUUGCCUAACAUCAGAGUAAAGAUGCUGCUGUUCCAUGUUCAGUUCUCAUCUUUCCAAGACUGUGCUGCUCGAGGAGAUCUGCCCUGUGGAAGGCGAACUGUGAUCUAGAUUAUUGGUCAAACGAAGUCAACCGGUAAGUCCUUCUCUGCGAGUUUAAUAUUUUGUUUCAAAAAUGUACCAAACCACUACAAAGGCCACCUCAGUACCCAUUGCCCCUGCCUGAAGACAUGAAGUGAAACCUCUUAACAGUCAAAAGCAAAGGUUAACGAUUUCUAGAACUUUUUAGGCUGUUCUGAUAUGUCUGUUCUAUCAAGAUGGCACUUCAGGUGAUGUCUAAUUGUGGAUGGAGAAAUUUAACGUUAUUGGUUUUAUCUCAACAUCUGUUGAGUCUUAACGGUCUGUGAGAAAGACUUGAUAGGGCUCUGGAGUUCACCACCUUUCUUCAGCAAGGUUUUCCCUCUUCUCCUCUCAGGAUACAUGCUUUCAUGCAGAAUCUUAGCGUUUCUUUGUUAGUCGUU
rnacentral:lncRNA from 1 species